rnacentral:rRNA from 1 species
AUUGAACGCUGGCGGCGUGCCUAACACAUGCAAGUCGAGCGGUAACAGGUGUAGCAAUACAUGCUGACGAGCGGCGGACGGGUGAGUAACGCUUGGGAAUCUGCCUAUUAGUGGGGGACAACCCGGGGAAAUUCGGGCUAAUACCGCAUACGCUCUACGGAGGAAAGCCGGGGACCGCAAGGCCUGGCGCUAAUAGAUGAGCCCAAGUCGGAUUAGCUAGUUGGUAGGGUAAUGGCCUACCAAGGCGACGAUCCGUAACUGGUCUGAGAGGACGACCAGUCACACCGGAACUGAGACACGGUCCGGACUCCUACGGGAGGCAGCAGUUGGGGAAUAUUGGACAAUGGCGAAAGCCUGAUCCA